UGUAAAUCAACUGCUUUUUUUAAAAACCAUGUAAAUCUAACGUAACUUAAGAAAUCAGUUUUAUACGUCAGCUGCAUCUUCGUUGGCAAUGAAGGUAUGAGCCUUGAAGGAAGUCUUAUAUAUUCAGUCACCGGUAUGAGUUAUGUAAUAAACAUAUGUACACAAAUUACAU